rnacentral:rRNA from 1 species
AUUGAACGCUGGCGGCAGGACUAACACAUGCAAGUCGAGCGAGCGGCGGACGGGUGAGUAAUGUAUGGGGACUGCCCGAUAGAGGGGGAUAACUACUGGAAACGGUAGCUAAUACCGCAUACUAUCGGAUAACCCAUAUGGGAUUAGCUAGUAGGUGAGGUAAUGGCUCACCUAGGCGACGAUCCCUAGCUGGUCUGAGAGGAUUAUAAGCCACACUGGGACUGAGACACGGCCCAGAAGCCUAGGGAGGCAGCAGUGGGGAAUAUGGCACAAUGGGCGCAAGCCUGCUGCAGCCAUGCCGCGUGUAUGAAGAAGGCUCUAGGGUUGUAAAGUACGUUCAGUCGGGAGGCGUUACCGACAGAAGAAGCACCGGCUAACUCCGUGCCAGCAGCCGCGGUAAUUC